rnacentral:lncRNA from 1 species
GGAAGAGCUGACACUGCCUGCGUGAAAGACAGGAGCCCAGGGCUCUCUCCUGAGAUACAAAUUGUAAGAAGCCACCAUGGGGCCAGGACCCUCCCCUGUGGAAUUUAUCCUUAUUGAAUAAUGGAGCGCUGCCCAUUUCAGCUUGAAGGCUGCUGAUCUUUCCUUUUCAUUUCUUUACCUUCAACAGGUGUCAGCUGAGCUCUGUCUAUGUGUCAGGCCCACAGCUUGACCCCAGGACACUUUCAGAAGAGUCCAGUUUUGGUGGAAGCCGGACAUGUGUAUAUAUGUAAUGAGGGUCUCAGGAGUGUGCAAGUGAAAUCUAACUGGAUCAGUGAGGGCAGUAAGGAGCUGUGGAUGCUGGGUCUUACCUACACAUUUGAGAGUGAGCAGG